rnacentral:rRNA from 1 species
UAUGGGGUUUUGUUACUGGAGAGGGAGCCUGAGAGACGGCUACCAUAUCCAAGGAUAGCAGCAGGCGCGUAAAUUACCCACUGUGGACUCCACGAGGUAGUGACGAGAAAUAUCGAUGCGAAGCGUGUAUGCGUUUUGCUAUCGGAAUGAGAGCAAUGUAAAACCCUCAUCGAGGAUCAACUGGAGGGCAAGUCUGGUGCCAGCAGCCGCGGUAAUUCCAGCUCCAGAAGCAUAUGCUAAAGUUGUUGCAGUUAAAAAGCUCGUAGUUGAAUUUCUGGCAUGGGCGACCGGUGCUUUCCCUGAAUGGGGAUUGAUUGUCUGUGUUGCCUUGGCCAUCUUUUUCUUUUUUUUAUUGGUAAGAAAUCUUUCACUGUAAUCAAAGCAGAGUGUUCCAAGCAGGUCGUAUGACCGGUAUGUUUAUUAUGGGAUGAUAAGAUAGGACUUGGGUGCUAUUUUGUUGGUUUGCACGCCUGAGUAAUGGUUAAUAGGAACAGUUGGGGGUAUUCGUAUUUAGGAGCUAGAGGUGAAAUUCUUGGAUUUCCGAAAGACGAACUAGAGCGAAGGCAUUUACCAAGCAUGUUUCAUAAUCAAGAACGAAGCC